GGAUCAGGUAGGAACCCUAGCUUAGCGGUUUGGG
rnacentral:rRNA from 1 species